rnacentral:rRNA from 1 species
AGCCGCAUGGUUCAAACAUAAAAGGUGGCUUCGGCUACCACUUACAGAUGGACCCGCGGCGCAUUAGCUAGUUGGUGAGGUAACGCCUCACCAAGGCAACGAUGCGUAGCCGACCUGAGAGGGUGAUCGGCCACACUGGGACUGAGACACGGCCCAGACUCCUACGGGAGGCAGCAGUAGGGAAUCUUCCGCAAUGGACGUAAGUCUGACGGAGCAACGCCGCGUGAGUGAUGAAGGUUUACGGAUCGUAAAGCUCUGUGGUUAGGCAAGAACAAGUACCGUUCGAAUAGGGCGGUACCUUGACGGUACCUAACCAAAAAGCCACGGCUAACUACGUGCCAGCAACCGCGGUAAUACGUAGGUGGCAAGCGUUGUCCGGAAUUAUUGGGCGUAAAGGGCUCCCAGGCGGUUUCUUAAGUCUGAUGUGAGAGCCCCCGUCUCAACCGGGGAGUGUCAUUGGAAACUGGGGAACUAGAGUGCAGAACAGGAGAGUGGAAUUCCACGUGGAACG